rfam:Triticum aestivum genome assembly, contig: Triticum_aestivum_CS42_TGACv1_scaffold_080459_1DS
UACAUACUCCCUCCGUCGCAAAAUUCUUGUCUUAGAUUCAUCUAGAUACGGAUGUAUCUAAUACUAAAACAUGACUUGAUACAUCCGUAUUUAGACAAAUCUAAGACAAGAAUUUUGGGAUGGCGGGAGUACAAG